rnacentral:rRNA from 1 species
GACGAACGCUGGCGGCGUGCUUAACACAUGCAAGUCGAACGGAAAGGCCCUGCUUUUGUGGGGUGCUCGAGUGGCGAACGGGUGAGUAACACGGGAGUAACCUGCCCUUGACUUUGGGAUAACUUCAGGAAACUGGGGCUAAUACCGGAUAGGAGCUCCUGCUGCAUGGUGGGGGUUGGAAAGUUUCGGCGGUUGGGGAUGGACUCGCGGCUUAUCAGCUUGUUGGUGGGGGAGUGGCUUACCAAGGCUUUGACGGGUAGCCGGCCUGAGAGGGUGACCGGCCACAUUGGGACUGAGAUACGGCCCAGACUCCUACGGGAGGCAGCAGUGGGGAAUAUUGCACAAUGGGCGGAAGCCUGAUGCAGAAACGCCGCGUGCGGGAUGACGGCCUUCGGGUUGUAAACCGCUUUCGCCUGUGACGAAGCGUGAGUGACGGUAAUGGGUAAAGAAGCACCGGCUAACUACGUG